ANNNUAAAUUACUGUAUGAGAUAAAACAUUUUAAUAUUUUAGUAUAGGCGAUAGAAAAAUUAAUAAGCGCUUCAGAUAAAGUACCGCAAGGAAACAUGAAAUAGAAAUGAAACAACCUAUAGCCCUAAGCAGCAGAGAUGCCCCCUCGUACCUUUUGCAUCAUGGUCUAGCCAGUCCACCGAGCAAAAUGAAAAUUUAGUCCGACCCCCCGAAACUAGGUGAGCUACUUCAAAACAGCCCACAAGAGCCAACCCCCCUCUGUUGCAAAAGAGUGGGAAGAUUUUCAAGUAGAGGUGACAAGCCUACCGAGCCUAGAGAUAGCUGGUUGUUCAAGAAAAGAGUUUUAGCUCUGCCCUAAGCUUUUUUAUUACAUUAACAAGCCACACAAGCUUAGGAGUUAUUCAAAUUAGGCACAGCUUAUUUGAAACAGAAUACAACCUCUACCACUGGGUAAAAUGGGUAAUAAAAAUAAAGUGGGCCCAAAAGCAGCCACCUUUAAAAAAGCGUCAAAGCUUAACUAUCCUAACCCCAAAUUACUAAAACAUUACCUAACCCGUCAUUACAACUGAACCAUUUUAUAGCAUUAUAAAAAUGAUCCUGCUAGAACUAGUAACAAGAGCUUGCUCUUAUCCACAAUGUAAGCAUAAACCAAAACGGACACCCCAUUGGUAAUUAACGUAAAUGCAAAACCAUAACAACACGUAACAAGAAAACCUUAUGGCCCACACCACGUUACCCUAACACCAGAACAUCCCAGGAAAGAUUAAAAGAAGGGGAAGGAACUCGGCAAAUUUUAGCCCCGCCUGUUUACCAAAAACAUCGCCUCCUGAUUAAGCAUAAGAGGUCUAGCCUGCCCAGUGAUAACAUUCAACGGCCGCGGUAUUCUAACCGUGCGAAGGUAGCAUAAUCACUUGUUCUCUAAAUAAGGACUUGUAUCAACGGCAUCACGAGGGCCAUACUGUCUCCCCCCUCCAAUCAGUGAAACUGAUCUCCCCGUGAAGAAGCGGGAAUUUAACUAUAAGACGAGAAGACCCCAUGGAGCUUUAAACCCGACGUACACCUUCUUACAUACCACCAACCCAGCCUUGAAGCCCUGUAUGUCGGUUUUAGGCUGGGGGGGCCACGGAGUAAAAUCAAACCUCCACAACAAAUGGGCUAAUACCCUUAUCCACGAUUUACAAAUCAAAGAAUCAUCAAAAUGAUGUUUAAUGAUCCGAUAACUCGAUCAAUGAACCAAGUUACCCUGGGGAUAACAGCGCAAUCCACUUCAAGAGCCCCUAUCGACAAGUGGGUUUACGACCUCGAUGUUGGAUCAGGGUAUCCCAGUGGUGCAACCGCUACUAAAGGUUCGUUUGUUCAACGAUUAAAACCCUA
rnacentral:rRNA from 1 species